UACGUAGGGAGCAAGCGUUGUCCGGAUUUACUGGUGUAAAGGGAGCGUAGACGGUUGUGCAAGUCUGAUGUGAAAACCCGGGGCUCAACUCCGGGAUUGCAUUGGAAACUGUAUAACUAGAGUGCAGGAGAGGUAAGUGGAAUUCCUAGUGUAGCGGUGAAAUGCGUAGAUAUUAGGAGGAACACCGGCGGCGAAGGCGGCUUACUGGACUUUAACUGACGUUGAGGCUCGAAGGCGUGGGGAGCAAACA
rnacentral:rRNA from 1 species